rnacentral:rRNA from 1 species
GAUGAACGCUGGCGGCGUGCCUAAUACAUGCAAGUCGAGCGAACAGAUCAGGAGCUUGCUCCUUUGACGUUAGCGGCGGACGGGUGAGUAACACGUGGGUAACCUACCUAUAAGACUGGGAUAACUUCGGGAAACCGGAGCUAAUACCGGAUAACAUUUGGAACCGCAUGGUUCUAAAGUGAAAGAUGGUUUUGCUAUCACUUAUAGAUGGACCCGCGCCGUAUUAGCUAGUUGGUAAGGUAACGGCUUACCAAGGCGACGAUACGUAGCCGACCUGAGAGGGUGAUCGGCCACACGGGAACUGAGACACGGUCGAGACUCCGACGGGAGGAAGCAGUAGGGAAUCUUCCGCAAUGGGGGAAAGCCUGACGGAGCAACGCCGCGUGAGUGAUGAAGGGUUUCGGCUCGUAAAACUCUGUUAUUAGUGAAGAACAAACGUGUAAGUAACUGUGCAGGUCUUGACGGUGCCUAAUCAGAAAGCCACGGCUAACUACGUG